rnacentral:rRNA from 1 species
GACACAGGCGCCGAGCGGUGUUCGGAAACACUGGGCUUAAAGAGCGAGUAGGCGGAAGGGCAAGUCUGAGGUGGAACCCUAUGGCCCAACCAUAGAACUGCCUUGGAAACAGUUCUACUUGAGUCAGUGAGGGGAGGGCGGAAUUCCCGGUGUAGCGGUGAAAUGCGUAGAUGUCGGGAGGAAGGCCGGUGGCGAAGGCGGCCCUCUGGCGCUGUACUGACGCUGAGGCGCGAAAGCGUGGGGAGCAAACAGG